ACGAACGCUGGCGGCGUGCUUAACACAUGCAAGUCGAACGGGCCAUAUGGGGCUUGCUCUGUAUGGUCAGUGGCGAACGGGUGCGUAACACGUGAGAAAUCUGUCCUUCGGCGGGGGAUAGCCGGCCCAACGGCCGGGUAAUACCGCGUACGCUCGCACCGGGGCAUCCCGGCGCGAGGAAAGCAGCAAUGCGCCGAUGGAGGAUCUCGCGGCCUAUCAGCUAGUUGGCGGGGUAAUGGCCCACCAAGGCGACGACGGGUAGCUGGUCUGAGAGGAUGGCCAGCCACAUUGGGACUGAGACACGGCCCAGACUCCUACGGGAGGCAGCAGUGGGGAAUAUUGCGCAAUGGGCGAAAGCCUGACGCAGCGACGCCGCGUGUGGGAUGACGGCCUUCGGGUUGUAAACCACUGUCGGGAGGGACGAAGCUCUGACGGUACCUCCAAAGGAAGCACCGGCUAACUCUGU
rnacentral:rRNA from 1 species